UUCUCUUAAUAUGUUUUUAAUAAUAUAGCUUAUGAUUUGUUUAAAUAAAGGAGAGUAUUUCAAAAUUAUUUUAUUUUCUAAAUAUAUUUGAUUUCUUAAUUUAUAUUAUAUAUUUAAUACAAUUGUUUCAAAUGACUCCUGCAUUAAAAUAUUGAAGUUAUAAUAUUAAAUGAGUAAUUAAUUGGUAAUUAAAGAUGGAAGAAUUUUUUCAUGUUAUAAAAAUAUUAAAACAAAAUAAAAUAUUUUCAAAUUAACUUUAGAAUUCAG
rnacentral:lncRNA from 1 species